rnacentral:rRNA from 1 species
AUUGAACGCUGGCGGCAUGCUUUACACAUGCAAGUCGAACGGUAACAGGCCUUCGGGCGCUGACGAGUGGCGAACGGGUGAGUAAUGCAUCGGAACGUGCCCAGUCGUGGGGGAUAACGCAGCGAAAGCUGUGCUAAUACCGCAUACGAUCUGCGGAUGAAAGCGGGGGACCUUCGGGCCUCGCGCGAUUGGAGCGGCCGAUGUCAGAUUAGGUAGUGGGUGGGGUAAAGGCUCAACAAGCCAACGAUCUGUAGCUGGUCUGAGAGGACGACCAGCAUCAGUGGGACGGAGAAACGGCCCAGCCUCCUACGGGAGGCAGCAGUGGGGAAUUUUGGACAAUGGGCGCAAGCCUGAUCCAGCAAUGCCGCGUGCAGGAAGAAGGCCUUCGGGUUGUAAACUGCUUUUGUACGGAGCGAAAAGGCUCCCUCUAAUACAGGGGGCUCAUGACGGUACCGUAAGAAUAAGCACCGGCUAACUACGUGCCAGCAGCCGCCGUAACAC